rnacentral:lncRNA from 1 species
GAAGUGUUAACCAAGACCCCAUCUUCAAGAACUACAGCUUGCCUCCUAACGAAGUUGGAUACCCUGGUGGUAUUUUCAACCCACUCAACUUUGCACCAACUGCUGAGGCCAAAGAAAAGGAAAUUGCUAAUGGUAAGUCCAACUACCACAACCCUGUUAUAUUUCAUGUACGAUCACUAAACUUGAUCCACUGUAACAAUAAAAUACCAUAACUAAUUUUUUCACAUGAAGUAACUGAACUUUAUCUACUAUAAUAGUAACAUCACUAACUUUCACAUGGAUAAUAUGCAGGGAGAUUGGCAAUGUUGGCAUUUUUGGGAUUCAUAGUGCAGCACAAUGUAGUAGGAAAGGGACCUUUUGACAACCUUCUGCAACACCUCUCCGACCCAUGGCACAACACCAUUGUCCAAACACUCGGCAACUAGAAAACCUCAUGGAAACUGGAUUGAAUAUAUUGUUACCCUUGUAACCAUGUUAUGGUUUUUGAUCAAGAAUAGAGCUUUGUGGUAAACAAGGAACCUUUAAUGUACAGGGCAUUUUAAAUUGCAAGUCUUAUUCGUGUUAUUUCCACCCUAUCGUCAGUAUAUAAAGUGGAAGAAAAGCCCCCUUUAGCUAAUUCGAGACGCUUAUCUAGACUUGGAUUUGGUAAAGGGAAAGCUUUCUUUUAGUAGUUCAACUUAUGCAUCUCAAUUGCAAAAGAAAUCCCAGAAAUUUAUUGAAGCAAAGUGAAAUUGGUCUUAGUCUCAGAUCUCAUACACGAG